UUGCUGAACCCUUUCUCUUUUAUUGUUGCUCAUCUCUCAUGGCGAGUGGCCUCAAAGAAAGGGGAGAUAAUAAGUUUGUGUAGCUGGAGAUCAUCCUUACCCAUAGGAUAGGUCCAUUACCAACCUAACGACAUCCCUAAUGAUUGAAGUUUUUAUUGUCAAUAUUCCUACCAUUCCUUCCAUAGGUUUUGUGUAAAUCCCUAAAUACAUUCAACUGUCUCGUGUGUUUUGAUAUGAGAGAUUCACUAGUCAGCUGGUGAUAAUGAUCUCUACUCUGUGCAUGAAGUGUGAUUCAUACUGUGUGCCGGAUUGGUGUCUUGACAGUGUAAUGUCAGGUCUGACAUGAACAAUGUCAUGUACUAGAUAUAGGAAAUUGUAUUGAUUAUUUGUCACAAUGGUUACAGUUGUCAGGUUUGGUCUUCUCAAACAUCAAGUUUUACAGUUUGUAUUCACUUUUUUUCUCUAUCAGAACUUUGUUUUUCUGAUUGGUAGUAGUCAUCAGAUGGCAUUAUGGUUAAACUGUAUGUAUGGCAUGCCAGGCUUUGCCGAAGGUUUAUCUAUACUUUAUGGCCGAGUCCAUGAUUCAGGUGUUUAAAACCUUUCUUUUUAUCUGACUAUGUGUCACGUGUGAAAAGGGGCCUGAAAGAAAGGGUAGAUAAUAAGGUGGUGUAGCUGGAGAUCAUCCGCACCCCCAGGAUUGGUCCAUUACCAACCUAACCACAAACCUUGAUCAUUAUACAGUCGGUGGACAUCAGUUAAUAUUGUUUUAUUGGUAAAUGUAUAUAGGAACAAGUGAAGGUCCUAAAUAUAAACAAGCUCAGACCAACCAUGCUGUAAGUGUUCAAAUGAUUGUCAUCCACUGGCACAUAACCUUUUGCUCAGUUACUUUGAAUACAACUUCAAAGAUGAGGUUUCUUAGAUGGGAGGCUGGGAGUUGUAGGAUUGAUUAAACAAGUGUUUGGCUUUGAUUUCAGGAGAAACUGUUUUGAUAUCUGGCAGACAGUUCCAUUUAGAUGACUAUUUUGAAAGAUAUAUGUUGAUCUUGUGAGUGGAUCUUGACAUAUGAGACAAAAGUCUCAGUCUCAUGUAGACAGUGUGUUUUGAGCAUUUUGGGCCUUCCUGGAUCUCCACUGUUCUGAAGUAAAGUAUGAUGUGAAAUGCAGUUUUUGCUGAAACCCUUUCUCUUUUAUUGUUGCUCAUCUCUCAUGGCGAGUGGCCUCAAAGAAAGGGAAGAUAAUAAGUUUGUGUAGCUGGAGAUCAUCCUUACCCAUAGGAUAGGUCCAUUACCAACCGAACGACAUCCCCAAUGAUUGAAGAUUUUAUUGUCUGUAUUACUAAUAUUCCGUCCAUAGGUUUUGCAUAUAUCUGUGAAUACAUUCAACUGUCUUGAGUGUUGUAUGGAUGUAUCUUCAUGUAUGUCUUUUCACUUCUCUGUGGCAGGAACAUUGAUAAAGUUGUUUUCUGUCAAUUCUGCUGGUGCACUGUUAUUUAAGGUGAUUUAACAUGUUCAUGUUAGUUGCUGGAUAAGAUGUGAGGAUCUUGCAUUUGCUUUUUCAAUUGAGAAUAAUUCAUUAAAUGAAGUGCAGGAAUGUAUAAUGCGUCAUUUGUUUCAGUGAUGUUUCAUUUUGUCACAUCAGACAAAAUGGAUGUAAGCAGUUUUUUUGCGUUUUGGCCCCCAGUAUCUGCUCUGUAUGACCAUGGUGUAGGAAUGUGUAAUGUGAAAUGCAUAAUUGUUGAAGCCCUUUCUCUUUUAUUGUGUUUCUCGUCUCUCAUGGCGAGUGGCCUCAAAGAAAGGGAAGGUAAUAAGUUUGUGUAGCUGGAGAUCAUCCUUACCCAUAGGAUAGGUCCAUUACCAACCUAACGACAUCCCAAAUGAUUGAAGUUUUCAUUGUCAGUAUUCCCUCAAUAGGUUUUCUAUAAUCUGAAUACAUUCUGAUUCAACUGAUUUUUGUGCUGUUAUAUGUGUGAAUCUCCUGAAGUUUCAUGAAAAAAAUCCUAAGCAUGUGUAUCAAAGAGAUACUUGUUUUUUUCCCCCUGGGAUUUUCCUCUCCCUUCUCCUUGUAUAUCAUUUCACUUCUCUAUGAAAAAAACACAAUUCUAACAUUCCCAAUGGCAGGGGAACAUUGAUAAAGUUGUUUUCUGUCAAUUAUGCUAGUGCACUGUUAUGCU